GGCGACGGGUGAGUAACACGUGAGUAAUCUGCCCUUCACUUUGGGAUAACUACCGGAAACGGUGGCUAAUACCGAAUAUGACCCCCUUCUGCAUGGUUGGGGGUGGAAAGUUCUGGCGGUGAAGGAUGUGCUCGCGGCCUAUCAGCUUGUUGGUGAGGUAAUGGCUCACCAAGGCUUCGACGGGUAGCCGGCCUGAGAGGGUGACCGGCCACACUGGGACUGAGACACGGCCCAGACUCCUACGGGAGGCAGCAGUGGGGAAUAUUGGACAAUGGGCGAAAGCCUGAUCCAGCAACGCCGCGUGAGGGAUGAAUGCCUUCGGGUUGUAAACCUCUUUCGCCUGCGACGAAGCGAGAGUGACGGUAGCAGGUAAAGGAGCACCGGCCAACUACGUGCCAGCAGCCGCGGUAAUACGUAGGGUGCGAGCGUUGUCCGGAAUUAUUGGGCGUAAAGGGCUCGUAGGCGGUUUGUCGCGUCGGGAGUGAAAACUCAGGGCUUAACUCUGAGCUGGCUUCCGAUACGGGCAGACUAGAGGUAUGCAGGGGAGAACGGAAUUCCUGGUGUAGCGGUGAAAUGCGCAGAUAUCAGGAGGAACACCGGUGGCGAAGGCGGUUCUCUGGGCAUUACCUGACGCUGAGGAGCGAAAGUGUGGGGAGCGAACAGGAUUAGAUACCCUGGUAGUCCACACCGUAAACGUUGG
rnacentral:rRNA from 1 species